UAAGAGCAAUAGGCCACCCAUAU
rnacentral:piRNA from 1 species